rnacentral:rRNA from 1 species
UACGUAGGGUGCGAGCGUUAAUCGGAAUUACUGGGCGUAAAGCGUGCGCAGGCGGUUUCACAAGCUCGAUGUGAAAGCCCCGGGCUUAACCUGGGAAUGGCAUUGAGGACUGUGGAGCUCGAGUGCGGCAGAGGGAGGUGGAAUUCCACGUGUAGCAGUGAAAUGCGUAGAGAUGUGGAGGAACACCGAUGGCGAAGGCAGCCUCCUGGGCCGACACUGACGCUCAUGCACGAAAGCGU